GGGUUAGCAGGUUGGUCGUGCCACUGGUAUGAACUGGCCUUGCUGAUUCCUCCCUCUUGAUGAGCCGUAAUGCCAUUAAUUUGGUGUUGCGAGGAAUCAGGACUGUUACUUUGAAAAAAUUAGAGUGUUUAAAGCAGGCAAGCGCUUGAAUACAUUAGCAUGGAAUAAUGAAAUAGGACG
rnacentral:rRNA from 1 species